ACGGAAGGCAGAGUGGGGAAUAUUGGGGCAAUGGGCGCAAGGCCCUGACCAGCAUGCCGCGUGAGCUGAUGAAGGCCUUCGGGUCGUAAAGCUCUGUGGGGAGGGAACGAAAAAGCUUGUGGCUAAUAUCCAUGAGCCCUGACGGUACCUCCUUAGCAAGCACCGGCUAACUCCGUGCCAGCAGCCGCGGUAAUACGGAGGGUGCAAACUGUUGCUCGGAAUUAUUGGGCGUCAAAUGGCGCACGUAGGCGGCGAUAUAAGUCGGGUGUGAAAUGCCCUGGG
rnacentral:rRNA from 1 species